rnacentral:rRNA from 1 species
AUUGAACGCUGGCGGCAGGCCUAACACAUGCAAGUCGAGCGAGCGGCGGACGGGUGAGUAAUGUCUGGGAAACUGCCUGAUGGAGGGGGAUAACUACUGGAAACGGUAGCUAAUACCGCAUACUGAUGGAUGGACCAGCGGUGCAUUAGCUAGUUGGUGAGGUAACGGCUAACCAAGGCCACGAUGCAUAGCCGACCUGAGAGGGUGAUCGGCCACACUGUGACUGAGACACUGCCCAGCCUCCGACGGGAGGACGCAGUAGGGAAUCUUGUACAAGUAGCUAAAGCCGGAUCCAGCCAUGCCGCGUGUGUGAAGAAGGUCUUCGGAUUGUAAAGCACUUUAAGUUGGGAUGCGUUACCAACAGAAUAAGCACCGGCUAACUUCGUGCCAGCAGCCGCGGUAAUAC